rnacentral:rRNA from 1 species
UACAGAGGGUGCGAGCGUUGUUCGGAAUCAUUGGGCGUAAAGAGCGUGUAGGCGGCUUGUUAAGUCUUGCGUGAAAUCUCGGGGCUCAACCCCGAGCGGUCGUGAGAAACUGGCAGGCUAGAGUGCGGGAGAGGAGAGUGGAAUUCCUGGUGUAGCGGUGAAAUGCGCAGAUAUCAGGAGGAACACCGGUGGCGAAGGCGGUUCUCUGGGCCUGUACUGACGCUGAGGAGCGAAAGCGUGGGGAGCGAACAGG